rnacentral:misc_RNA from 1 species
GAAAUGCGAUAAGUAAUGUGAAUUGCAGAAUUCAGUGAAUCAUCGAAUCUUUGAACGCACAUUGCGCCCUUUGGUAUUCCGAAGGGCAUGCCUGUUCGAGCGUCAUUUAAACUCUCAAGCUAUGCUUGGUAUUGAAGGAAGUCCUUUUGGACUCUUUUGUAACCUGUCAGUGCGGGACCUACCGGCUUCAAGCGUAGCAAAAUUUCGCUUCGUUGUUUGGUAGGCUCUUGCCAGAUAAUUUUUAUAUCUACAGUUUGACCUCGGAUCAGGUAGGGAUACCCGCUGAACUUAA